UAGGGAAUCUUCCACAAUGGACGCAAGUCUGAUGGAGCAACGCCGCGUGAGUGAAGAAGGUUUUCGGACCGUAAAGCUCUGUUGUUGGUGAAGAAGGAUAGAGGUAGUAACUGGCCUUUAUUUGACGGUAAUCAACCAGAAGGUCACGGCUAACUACGUGCCAGCAGCCGCGGUAAUACGUAGGUGGCAAGCGUUGUCCGGAUUUAUUGGGCGUAAAGCGAGCGCAGGCGGAAGAAUAAGUCUGAUGUGAAAGCCCUCGGCUUAACCGAGGAAUUGCAUCGGAAACUGUUUUCUUGAGUGCAGAAGAGGAGAGUAGAACUCCAUGUGUAGCGGUGGAAUGCGUAGAUAUAUGGAAGAAUACCAGUGGCGAAGGCGGCUCUCUGGUCUGCAACUGACGCUGAGGCUCGAAAGCAUGGGUAGCGAACAGGAUUAGAUACCCUGGUAGUCCAUGCCGUAAACGAUGAGUGCUAAGUGUUGGGAGGCUUCCGCCUCUCAGUGCUGCAGCUAACGCAUUAAGCACUCCGCCUGGGGGAGUACGACCGCAAGGUUGAAAC
rnacentral:rRNA from 1 species